rnacentral:rRNA from 1 species
AACGCGAAGAACCUUACCUGGAUUUGACAUCCUCUGACAUCCGUAGAGAUACGGCCUUUGUAGCAAUACAACAGAGAGACAGGUGCUGCAUGGCUGUCGUCAGCUCGUGUGGUGACAUGUUGGGUUAAGUCCCGCAACGAGCGCAACCCUUGUCCUUAGUUGCCAGCAUUAAGUUGGGCUCUCUAAGGAGACUGCCGUGGUGAACACGGAGGAAGGUGGAGAUGACGUCAAGUCCUCAUGGCCCUUAUGCCCAGGGCUACACACGUGCUACAAUGGACGGUACAAAGGGUUGCAAAGCCGCAAGGUCGAGCCAAUCCCAAAAAACCGCCCUCAGUUCGGAUUGUAGUCUGCAACUCGACUACAUGAAGCUGGAAUCGCUAGUAAUCGCCGAUCAGCACGCGGCGGUGAAUACGUUCCCGGGCCUUGUACACACCGCGCAUA